GAUGAGCGCUAGCGGCAGGCUUAAUACAUGCAAGUCGUGGGGCAGCAUGAGUAGCAAUACUUGAUGGCGACCGGCAAACGGGUGAGGAACACGUACACAACCUUCCUUCAAGCGGGGAAUAGCCCAGAGAAAUUUGGAUUAAUACCCCAUAAUAUAUUUGAUAAGGCAUCUUAUUAAUAUUAAAGCUUCGGCACUUGAUGAUGGGUGUGCGGCUGAUUAGAUAGUUGGCGGGGUAACGGCCCACCAAGUCUACGAUCAGUAGCUGAUGUGAGAGCAUGAUCAGCCACACGGGCACUGAGACACGGGCCCGACUCCUACGGGAGGCAGCAGUAAGGAAUAUUGGACAAUGGACGAAAGUCUGAUCCAGCCAUGCCGCGUGAAGGAUUAAGGGUCCUCUGGAUUGUAAACUUCUUUAUAUGGGACGAAAAAAGGGCAUUCUUGUUCACUUGACGGUACCAUAUGAAUAAG
rnacentral:rRNA from 1 species